UUCAGUUAAUGUAACACAUAAUACCGAUCGAUGUUCUGGAAUAUAUUGAUAAAUAUUUGAAAUUGUAUAAUAUGUGUAUUUCCUUUAACGUAAGUAAAUUAUCGUUAUAUUAAAUGACACUUCCGGUGUGCGGAAAUGAUUAUAGUUCCUCCAGGAAAUGCAAGAGAAGUAUGAAAUCCCCCUCUAUAUCUACGGAAAGUUCUGUUGCCGGUUUCGGGACCGUUGCCAAAUGGGUCAGAGCUCAGUAUUGAACUGAUACCGCUGACUACCACCUCCUCACCACUGCGCCUCCCUACCAACGACUGAAGAUCUAGAGCAAUUCUAGCGCGGUGCUUUACCGACAAAGGCAAGCUAUCGUACCAUCGCUCGCAAUUACCUUUCGCCGUCCUGCAUCACACCACCUCGUUACAUAAUGUGACAGGUACAAACAGUGCGAGGUCAGCACGAGGAUUCCACGUUCAGGGAGUGGCGGAAAUCUCGACAGCCAGGGCCGCGGCCGUUGAGACGCCCUAGAUGCAGAACCAGGCGAGAUCGAUAGAAAAAUGGGUCAAAGGUUCGGCCGCCGCCUUCGCCGUUUAAUGCGAGCGUUUUGCGGCAAAUUGAUGGAGAUGAAAGAAAGAUAUAGGGAAUGCGAAUUUUUAAGAUUCUUCUAUUUUAAAUCCACUAUGUCGGACGUAACAUUACGUUCCCAUUAGAAUUAAAUUACAUUGUAUUAAUAUGAA